rnacentral:rRNA from 1 species
UACGAAGGGGGCUAGCGUUGCUCGGAAUCACUGGGCGUAAAGGGUGCGCAGGCGGGUCUUUAAGUCAGGGGUGAAAUCCUGGAGCUCAACUCCAGAACUGCCUUUGAUACUGAGGAUCUUGAGUUCGGGAGAGGUGAGUGGAACUGCGAGUGUAGAGGUGAAAUUCGUAGAUAUUCGCAAGAACACCAGUGGCGAAGGCGGCACACUGGGCCAUUACUGACGCUGAGGCGCGAAAGCGUGGGGAGCAAACAGG